UACCAGGUCACUCCUGGAUAGUCCAGGUCGCUCCUGGUACUAUGAGUUAGACAGAUAGCCUGUCAGUUCAGAGAUAAGAGAAGUCCAGGUGAUGACCUAGUCUCCUUGGCACAGUGGGACAUGUUAUGAUAUGAGACAGAUAAGAGAAGUCCAGGUGAUGACCUAGUCUCCUUGGCACAGCAGGACAUAUUAUGACAUGUAGUAGAGGGCUAUUGGUGACAAGUUCAUCCGUGAGAUGAUAUGUUUGUGAUGUGAUGCAUUUCAUGAAAACAUGUAAUUAAUGAAUUGUUUUAUUGUUCCUCCUUACUGGGCUAUAGAGCUCAUCCCACUCCCUUAACCCCAGUUUUGCAGGUUCCGAGAUAGCUAUGGGAAGUCAGAGUCAGCAAGAGUAAAGAAAGAUAUGCAUGAAUGUAUGUUUAUAAUAAUAUAGUGGACAUGAUGUAAUUAAAAGAUUAGUUGUAAUGUAAUACAUAGAUAUGUACUGUCAUAUACUGGAUAGACUUGUGCUUUCCCUAGUGUCUUUGUUGUAGAGUGGUGUAUGAUUAAUCCCUUUGUUCAUGAAUCCUGUUUUACGUUUCUUGAUGAGAAAUGUGUGUAUCAGGCUUAAUGUAUGGCUUUGAUGAGAUACCAGUGGAUUGUGUUACAGAUUAAAAGGGUUUCAAUUCUUUGACCCACUGCAGAUAAUAGUUACUGGUAUAGGCCCUGAAGGCCAUUUCAGAUUUGCAUAUCUGAGUAGCAGUAGUUAAGCCUGGAGAGUUUUACAGGAUUGUUGAGUAUUUUUAAUCAUGUAUGGGAUUUAUCAGGUACACAGAGAGUAUAGUCGGCUUGCUACGGGUCCCGGCGGCCUUAAGCUGAUUUGGAUCCUAGUGCCAGUGAUGGUUCGGACCGUUACAGAGGGGUACCGGUUUCCGGGCUGUUACAGAUUGGUAUCAGAGCAUAGGGCCUCAAGAGUACGGUGUGUUGAGCAUUUUUGUUCAAGGACUAGAGAUAUCCCACAUCGAAAAGAGGUGUUGUCUUGUAUAGAAGGGUAAGCACAAUAGGCAAAAUCAUGUCCACUAGGAUAGGAUGUGGAGUCCUGUCUUGCAUGAUGAUGUGAAAUGCCAUGACAAGAUACAUGUGCAUUAUUGAUAUGUGAUAUAUAUAUGUUGUGGAUUCAUGUGUUCUAACAUGGAUCAUUUGAUGUUUUGUGUGAUGUUGUGCUUUUCAGAAACAGGAUGAGAGGAACUCGUCGAUCUGCUAGAUUGACUGGAGCUCCGCCGGAGAAUGAGGACAUGGAUGCCCAUCUCCCUGUUCUGCAAAGGGCAACAUCAGAUAGAUUACGCAGAGACGGUACAUCAAGGGACCCUAGAAGGUCUAUUGAUGAGAGUAGAAGGGGAGUCGUUCAGAGUGGUAUGUCAGGGGAUAUGAGGGAAGUAGAGGAGGAUGAGCAGAGCAGAGAUGCUAGCUUGGGCAUGAGUAUGUUAGGAGCAGAUAUGGGUGAGUCCCAAGGAGGCACUCAGGCCUCGAGAUUUGUUCCACCUCAGUAUCCACCCUACCCGUGGGGGGCAGAGUACCUGAUGGGUGGUAUAUCGGAGUUUCCUAGGUAUAACCCAUAUCCCACCUUUAUGCCUUAUCCUUCCUUUUACCCGCCAUAUCCACCGCCACAUCUACAGUAUACCAUGUUUCCACCCUUCUUUGGUUAUCCAGGUUCAGCAAACCCUAACCCAGGGAAUGUUGCACCUCCUCCACCACCAAUAAAACCAGUAGCCCUAGUUGUGCAAACAUCUAAGCCUAGCUCAUCUGGAGAAAGUGAGGUAAAGAUGACAGAUUAUUUGAGGUUGGAUGUUCCCAAAUUUGAGACUGGUAAUGACCCUUUGGAGUAUCUGAGAACGGUCAAGAUGAUAACUGAUGAGUUGGGAGCCAGUGAGAGUAGAGCCAUUCAGAUGGCGGGGGUCACAUUGAAAUGUGAGAAGGCAAGGGAAUGGUUCAACCAGUAUGUGGACCCGAGGGUAGAAAGCUUAUCCUGGGAGCAGUUUGCUACAGAGUUUGCAGGAUGGGCUUUUCCAGAUAGCUCAAGAGAGCGUCAGGAGAGUGAAUCUGAACAGCUAAGACAGACAGAAAAUAUGAGUAUAGAUAAUUACCCAGAGAAUAUUGAUCGUUUUCCUUUGGGUGAGGCUGCUGCAAAGAGUAAAAAGAAAGUUAGAGGCCUGAAAGGGUCAAAGAAAAGAGAGUUCUGGAAUAGGUUAAAGUCUAGUAUGGGUUUUAGCGAUGGCUCGAGUUCUGUUUGGGACAGUUCUAGAUGUACGAGGUGCGGUAGGAGGCACAGAGGAGUCUGUCUAGUAGGGACAACAGCAUGUUUCAGGUGCGGACAGGAGGGGCACAUAGCACGUGAGUGUUCCACCGCGAUUUUGAUAACACAGUCCCAGCAGAUAGCCUUAGACAGAGUGGCUCAGCCAGGAGUGCUAGCCAGGGUGCAGGGCAGAGGCAGAGGGAGCGAGAUCACUCCUUCUUCCACAGGUUCCCCAGGUGAAGGUCCAUCAGUACUAGCACGGAUCUUUUCUUUGACGCAACAAGAGGCUCACACAUCGGACAUGGAGGUGACAGGUACUUUUCACUUCCAUCCGAGCAGGUUUAAUGGUCAGGUCAGGGAAUCAGCCUCAAUGCCUGUAGCUAGUGAGUUCUAGAUGUUUUCCCAGAUGAGCUGUCAGGUUUACCAUCUGUCAGGGAGUCAGAGUUUGAAAUAGAAGUGGUGUCUGGACGCGAAACCAUUUCUUUCCUUCUACCCUACAGGAUGGCACCUGCAGAGAGAGCAUAGUCAGAGUAGUAUAGAGAAGCUUGGUAGAUAAAGGUUGUAUCCGACCUAGUACCUCACCCUGGAAUGUUCCAGUGUCAAUGUGAGAAACGAAGGAUGAAACCUUGAGAUUUUGUAACAACUGUGAGCAGUUGAACAAAAUCACUACCAAGGACAGGUGUUCCCAUGCAGAAUGGAUGAUCUAUUGGAACAGCUAGUAAAAACUGGUUGUUUUCCAUAAUAGAUCUCAGAAUUGGGAACUAUAUGUCGAAAGUUAGAGAAAAGUUAGUUUAGCAGUUGAGUAAAGGUGAGAUCUUUAUUGAUCAAAGGAGUUUAUAGUGAAGAGUCUAAAACAGAGGUAAGGGGUAAAACUGCUCAGCGACUCUGAGUAUACAAAACAGUAUCUACUGGGUGAGGCAGAUGAGAUGUUAGCUGCCCUCAGUCAGAAGUCGCUUACCAGUUUAUCCUAUAGAACAGGUAUUACUUCAGACUGAUGAUCGGUUGGAUCAGCUGGCAGGAGCCAGUUAUUUUUCAAGCUAGAUCUGAAAUCUGAGUGCUAGCUGUUGAGAGCUAGAGUUAGUCCAAUGUAAUAGGAAGGGAUCAAAAGAGAAGAAGCCAGUAUAAUAAAGAAGAAGAAAGGCGGGCAAGGAUCAGAGUGCGUAGCGGAAGAUUACUGUGUUGUUUGUGAUGUCUCCAGUGUGUAAUGAGCCGUUGAGGGGUGAAAGAUAAAAGAUUAAAUCCAUGGAAUCCUGUAAAGGAUUAAAGAGAUAGGAUUUAUCUAUUUCUAAGAGGAGAACCAUUUGGUUUCCUUAUUUCUUUUGUUCUGGAGUGGUGUUGGAUCCAAUGGAGGUUCUGUAUGAACCAGAGGUGGAGAUCUUAGGAAAUCUCACCGGUAUAGCAUAGUUAGAGUGAAUCAUACACACUCAGCUCGCAGAAUAGAAGAAUAGAAAGAUCCCAGAAGAGAAGUCUCUUAGAAUCACCCCAAGAGUGUAGUAUGAAUAGGAGACCCGGGAGUUCUUACUCUAGCGAUAUCUGUGUUUCUCUUUGGAGAACAGAUUUCUGUUUCAUUUGUUUAUUUGUUUGUUGUUUGAACAUUCGAGGACGAAUGUUUUUAAAGGGGGGAAGAAUGUCAUUCCCGGCCAGAUCAGACAUCAAAAUUCCUAUAGUCUGGUGGAAUUCGAGGAUGUCAGAGGUAUCUAGAAGGGUAAGAGAAAUGUUUUCUUAAAUAUUUUAAGUGUUUGAAGGUUUUAAAUGAGAUAGGAAUGAAUUUUGAAGAGAAAAGUUUUCUUAAGCUCCUAUAUGCUUGUUGUUUUGAGAUAUGGAUGAGUUAGAGAGGUUGGAUGCAUGUUGGGAAGGAUUGGAAGGUUUGGGAGGCAUCUUUGUGCAUGAAGCUGAGUUCUGGAUGAACUCAGGUUCGGCAGCCGAAGGAGGAUUCGGCCGCCGAACAUGCCCGACUUUCUUCUCUAGAGGAGACAUUCGGCCGCCGAAGGUGCUGCCGAAGGUGUCCUGUCCAACCUUCCUUUACUUGUUUUGCAUGCAUGUUUUGAGGCGUUCUAGAGGGAUUUUGGGGAGUUGUUUAUCAGUUGCAUAGAGUAUGUUUGGUGCCUCAUUUGCGUCCUCCAUUGUAGGAUUGGACCCGAGGAACCGAGGUGUUUAGCAGUAGUAGCUGCUUCAGAGUUAGAGGUAGCCCAGAGUUAGCCAAACAGUGGCUACAGGUGAGUGGAACUAAACUUAAUAUUUUACUUGAGAGAAAUGACACGGUUCUAGUAUGAUCCAUGCAUCAUAAAAUGCCAUGUUAUGUAUGAGGUUGUGUUGCAUUAGAAUUCACGAAUAUGACGCAUUGCAUAAGAUGUUGUUCAUGUGGAUGAAUGUUGGAUGAUCCUUAGCCCUUGAUAUGAGAUCAGAGAUUAUGAGUUGAGAUAUGGCAUGAGAUAGCCAUACCAGGUCGCUUCUGGAUAGUCCAGGUCGCUCCUGGUACUAUGAGUUAGACAGAUAGCCUGUCAGUUCAGAGAUAAGAGAAGUCCAGGUGAUGACCUAGUCUCCUUGGCACAGUGGGACAUGUUAUGAUAUGAGACAGAUAAGAGAAGUCAGGUGAUGACCUAGUCUCCUUGGCACAACAGGACAUAUUAUGACAUGUAGUAGAGGGCUAUUGGUGACAAGUUCAUCCAUGAGAUGAUAUGUUUGUGAUGUGAUGCAUUUCAUGAAAACAUGUAAUUAAUGAAUUGUUUUAUUGUUCCUCCUCACUGGGCUAUAGAGCUCAUCCCACUCCCUUAACCCCAGUUUUGCAGGUUCCGAGAUAGCUAUGGGAAGUCAGAGUCAGCAAGAGUAAAGAAAGAUAUGCAUGAAUGUAUGUUUAUAAUAGUAUAGUGGACAUGAUGUAAUUAAAAGAUUAGUUGUAAUG
rnacentral:lncRNA from 1 species